AGAAGUCUUUGACAUGGUGUGACUUGUUUUUCAGGCAGUCCCACUGGCAGACCAUCUUUAUGCAGUGGGCAACAUCAACCCUGAUGCAACAGGGAGGAGGUUUUGCAGACUGGUUUCCAAGUAGCACACAGAAGCAUUCAUCAAUGUAUGACUUCAGGUUAGAAAGAGGAGUGAAGGCCUUCACCAGAGCACCAAGAAUAGCCAGGGAAAAGUCACUCACAGCUUCCCUUGAACACCUUGAUAUAAGAAGAUGUGGCCAGAUGUACCAUUUGGUCGUGCCAGUUUUCUGACAACUGAACCAGUUGCAUCAAAGCAAACUACUGAGGGACAUUUUUUGGUUGCCAGGUUUGGAAGGUGACUUACCUCGGGAUCUCCAAUAUCCAUCAACUCUGAUGCCUUUGCUGACCUCCAUACAGCUGCUUCCAUCCUACCUUCACACAACUCUUUGGAAACCUGUGCACGAAGGGUUCCUGACAUGAAUCUUUUGGACUGGCCAGUGUGCAGGGAGAUGUCAGCACCUUCGAUAGAACACUGGAGCACCAUUGGGCUGUUGACCGUUGGCUCUCUGUCACAUGCCAUUUUAACAUGGCCUUGACACUCUUUACAGAAGCCUUUGAUAUCAAUGUACUUACUAGUGACAGUUGGAUAAACUUUUGCUCUGUGGAAUACAAAUGUACAUGUGCUUUUCAACUUUUUCCAAACCAGAUCAUUAAUUAUAUGACUCCAAGUGCCAGGUUUUAAAAUAGUGUAGUCCCUUUUGCCAGAUGAUGAAAGUUGGAUGAACUUUGUUGAACCAAUGACGCUGCCAUGCACUUCCAGUUUUACUCUGCAAAAACUUUAUUUGCUCAAGCAACUAGCAUGUUAGCUAUGGAUUUUUUUUGUCAUUUUUUUUACCCUUUUGCUGCAUAAUCAGCAGAAAGUAAGUCAACAAUGUGAAUAUAAUUGUUCAAACCACCUCCGAAACCAAAGCACAGUUUAACAGUCAUACAAAUUAUACACAUUACGUUACGGUCACGGCCGCAUGUCCUGUAUUGACAGAAUUCAAUUAUU